AACCGCAAGUGUGCAGUCGCCGUGCAGCCCAUCCGGGCUGUGCAGAGGAAAGUCCGAACUUCACAGGGCAGGGUGCCGGUCGAGAGUUGCAAAACUCAAGCCCGGGGAUAACGGCGCAAGCCGCUUGUCACAGAAAGCGCAACAGAAAACAGACCGCUUCGGGCAACCGGAGUAAGGGUGAAACGGGGGUGUAAGAGACCACCAGACAUGACAGUAAUGGCAUGUGCUUGGCAAACCUCCCCGAAGCAAGGCUAAAUAAGAGGACUUUUCCCCCAGGGGAAAAAGAGCGGCCCGUUCAAUUCCGCAAGGAGAGUUCUCGGGUAAGCCGCAUCAGAUAAAUGGCUGCAGUCUUACCCGGUCUCCGGGUAAUUCACAGAAUUCGGCUUAUAGCUUACGGUUUCAG
rnacentral:RNase_P_RNA from 21 species